AAGGGCCGGCGUCUUUUUAUUAUGCAUAAUUAUACGCUUCUUAAUGUACAGGCAUUUCGAGCCAUUUUUCCUUCCUUGGUGAAGUCGCAGCAGAGGCGGGUGUGAGUCCGGGUGCUUGGGGGCCGGGAGAUGGCUGCUCUUGUCUCCUUAACUCGGGGGUGCUGAGCCCUGAGCAUGGCGGGUCCCUCGACCGAUCAGCGUGCGAGGUCGCUCUGACCGAGAGAACGAAUUCUUCCAAGGGGAUCGGGGAGCCGGGACGCGGUGGUACAUCGUGGAAAUGUUGUAGAUCAUGAGGUGAAGCCCUCUCUCUCCCUCUUUGUCUUUGAGCCAAAGCCUCAGAUACGCACUCCUGCCCUCAUCCUGAAAGAAAAUGUUAGAUCCUUCCUACAAAGCAUUGUUUUACAUCUAUACCCAGCGAUUCUCCUCUUCUUUCUAAAUUUCACAAACUUAGACUCUGAAAACCUGACAUUGAGAGGUGACAGCAUGCUGGCAGCCCUCACAGCCCUCGCUCGCUCUUGGUGCCUCCUCGGCCUCGGCGCCCACUGUGGCCGCGCUUGAGGAGCCCUUCAGCCCGCUGCUGCACUGUGGGAGCCCCUUCCUGGGAUGGUGGAGGCUGGAGCCGGCUCCCUCAGGCUGCGGGGAGGUGUGGAGCAAGAGGCACGGGGGCUAACCGGGGCUGCGCACAGCGCUUGCUGGUAGAGUUCCCCGGGCGUGGGUUUGGCGGGUCCCGCACUCGGAGCGGCCGGCCGACAGUGAGGGGCUUAGCACCCGGGCCAGCAGCUGCGGAGGGUGCGUCGGGUCCUCCAGCAGUGCUGGCCCACCGGCGCUGCGCUCGAUUUCUCGCAGGGCCUUAACUGCCUCCCCGCGGGGCAGGGCUCGGUACCUGCAGCCUGCCAUGCCUGAGCCUCGCCCCUGCCCUCGCCCCCGCCCCCGCCCCCGCCGUGGGCUACUGCGCGGUCCGAGCCUCCCUGACAAGCGCCGCGCCCUGCUCCGCUGCGCCCAGUCCCAUCUACCGCCCAAGGGCUGAGGAGUGCGGGCGAACGGCGCCGGGCGGGCAGGCGGCUCCACUGGGUGAAGCCAACUGGGCUCCUGAAUCUGGUGGGGACUUGGAGAAUCUUUAUGUCUAGCUCAGGGAUUGUGAAUGCACCAAUCGGCACUCUGUAUCUAGCUCAAGGUUUGUAAAUGCACCAAUCAGCACUCUGUGUCUAGCUCAGGGUUUGUAAAUACACCAAUCGACACUGUGUAUCUAGCUAAUCUAGUGGGGAUGUGGAGAACUUUUGUGUCUAGCUCAGGGAUUGUAAACGCACCAAUCAGCACCCUGUCAAAACGGACCAAUCAGCUCUCUGUAAAACAGACCAAUGGGCUCUCUGUAAAAUGGACCAAUCAGCAGGAUGUGGGUGGGGCCAGAUAAGAGAAUAAAAGCAGGCUGCCGGAGCUAGCGGUAGCAACCCGUUUGGUUAUCUUUCUGUGCUGUGGAAGGUUUGUUCUUUCACUCUGCACUAUUUUGCAAUAAAUAUUGCUAUUGCUCACUUUGGGUUUAUAUUGCCUUUAUGAGCUGUAACACUCACCAUGAAGGUCUGCAGCUUUACUCUUGAAGCUUAGCGAGACCACUAACCCACCAGAAGGAAGAAACUCCGGACACGCCGCCUUUAAGAACUGUAAUACUCAGUGCGAGGGUUCACGGCUUCAUUCUUGAGACAACGAGGAGGGAGCAGCUAGAGGGGUGGAAAUGGGAUCACGUGACCUUGCGAGAAGCAGGGAGAGAGAACACUGCGUCUGCUCCCUUUUAGAACAGCUCAAUAUAGGGAAUCCCUAACAGAGGACUUCCAGGAUAUCCUAGGGACAGCAGAGCCUCAAGAUCCAGGGAGGAUCCUGGAUACCUGAGUCACCACUUGGAGGGGAAUCUCCUGGAAGAACUGAUUGAUCAGCAACAUCUACAUUCAACUUGAGGUUGUUCCGUAAGACAGGAUGGCACAGAGCUUUAAGCAACAGCUCUGGCAUCUGACUUCCGUGUUUGCAUCUGGCUUUGAGUGUGACUUUGGACAAGUUCCUUAGCUGGCCAGAUACUCUUGUCCUCAUCCAUAAGAUGGAGCAACAACGAAGCCUUUCUCAUAGGUUAUUGUGAGGAUUGAAUGAAUUAGUAUAUGCCAAGCAUUUGAAGCAGUGCCUGACAUGUAGUAGAUGCUGAGUAACACUGGGGAUCUGCCUUUUCUUUUUCCUCUAUGUGACUGGCAGCCUUAGCCAGACCACAUCAGCUGAGAUGAUUUUCUCUGUAAGUUACCAGGAUCACCUAGAUCUGGCCAAGGACUUGCCCCUGUAAGGAAAUUUGGAAUAAGCAAAAAAGAUCACUAGGUGUCGCCGAUGGAAAACUAGGUUGUUUUGAGCAUACCUUUGCAUGUUAUCUGAUUUUAGCCUUUCAGGGUCUUUGAGCUAUUUUAUGGCUCUGUAGGUUGUACAUAACUGAUAGCAAUGCAAAAUAAUUCUUGUCUAUAGACAUGCAAAUAAAUCCUGUCCAGCGGUUCAAUUGACUACCCUCUUCCCUAAGGAAAAAGCCAGUUUCAGUCUAUUUGUAAAUUCAUUUCCACUUUCCUUACUCCCUAUAAAUUUCUGCUUUUCAGAUUUCUCCUUUGUUAACGUCUGCCUGGUUCCCUCAUUAAGUCAAAUAAAAUCUUUAACACGUUAAAGUAUGAGAGUCAUGAUCUCACCUGUUUUAGGAAAAUUAUCUUUUAAUACUUCUGAUAGGAAAGUUUCCUAAGCAGACCAAAAAGUAGGUACCACGGUCCCGUCUCCUAGUGGUGUGACCUUGAUCCAGCUAUUUUUCUAUCCUGGUCUCAGUUUUCACAUCUAUGAAAUGGGAGUAACAUUAUACACCUAAGAGUACGCCUGAGUAUUUCUAAGAACUAUAUGGAAAGCAUCCAGCCUCCACCUGGGCACAGAGAAGCUGCUUAAGGAAAAGGAGCUGGCAUUGUUGCAGGGAUGGUGAUGUUUAAUCCUGGUUAUUGGUAACUCAGUCAGCAGAGGUAGCAUAGGUGUCGAAACAUAGGGAGAAGGACAACAGACAGGAUGUGCUUUCUAAGGCUAACAUGGAUGGGAACAGAGAGGAGAGGAGACCUUCCUGGGCCGAGCUGCCUGUCACCUACCCGUGCACUCAGCACCUCUGCAGCUGUCACUGGACACAUCCAACCCAGAGUGCAAUUGACAUGGGAAAAAACUGCACAUGUAGACGUUUCAGUGUGGUGAGAGUAUGUUGGCAUGGAGAUGGCUGCGUCUGCCCUCGUCAGGAUGAAGGAGGGGACGGUCAGUGAGGUGCCAGGAAAAGAAGAGAAGUGCAAAUCUGGGUGUGUCGGCUUGUUUCCCGGGGAGGUGUUGCUUUGCCCUGGGCAGAUGUGAUCAUCUGGCUCUUUGUUCAGCAUCUUCUGUGCUGCAACUCUUAGCUAGUCCCUAGAUUAUUCAUCAGCCAUGCAACCACUUGGUUAGCUUGAGUCUGUUCCCUCCACCUGGAGAAACCUUGGUGCACUCAUAAAAUGGGGUCUGCCCUGCUCAAAGGAAGAGCAGGCUGUGUGCUGGUUGUCAAAUCAGGAAUGUAACUGCUUUGAGGCAGCAGUAAAGUGCUAGACCAGCCUUCUAGAUCUAAUACAUAGUCCAGCAAAUUUUAUCUCUAACUGUUCCUAGUUUUCACUCUCCCUGGCUUUGACCUGAGAAAGAGAGCAAUCGUUUGAAAAGUAUUAAUGAGACUUUUCCCUUUGUUUCUUAG
rnacentral:lncRNA from 10 species